rnacentral:rRNA from 1 species
UGAGCAAUCUGCCCUUCUCAUCGGAAUAAGCGUUGGAAACGACGUCUAAUGCCGAAUACGACCUCCUUUCGCAUGAUCGGAGGUGGAAAGCUCCGGCGGAGAAGGAUGAGCUCGCGGCCUAUCAGCUUGUUGGUGGGGUAAUGGCCCACCAAGGCGACGACGGGUAGCCGGCCUGAGAGGGCGACCGGCCACACUGGGACUGAGACACGGCCCAGACUCCUACGGGAGGNAGCG